GCCUAUGGGGCAGUGAUAGACAGAUAGUUUAUUCUGUGAGGGGGAAAUUGAAUUGUCACAGCAGAAAUAUUCACACACAUAGAGUAGACUCUUAACAAAGAAACAUAAAAAAAAAGAGGGUAGAGAGGACAGCAUUAAGAUGCAAUCAAAGACUCGGAAGGGAAAAAAAACGUGUAGGGGGUGUAUCAGUGUGGUCAACACCGCCAGGCUCUCAAUCAAGGGCAAGGUGAACAUCGGUCACGAAUGUUUAAACUCUAUAUGCUCCACCUCCUUUCAAGAGUCCUUUUUCUACACUUUCUAUUAUACUCCAAUAUAAUCAGUGACCAGCUAAAUGCCAGUGUUACUUUCUAAUCACCUUCCUGUGGCAAUAUUUGCAAAGUAAGGCUGUAAAGUCAAUUUACAAGUUAUGUAGAGGCCAAACGCACACCACAAAGCAAGCAUUUUUUUUGGGGUGUGUGUGUGUGUGUCAAUGUUAGGUUUGCAUUCACUAUUGACUUAAGUGCAUGCAAUGUAUAGAAUGCGAAGCAAACUUGGAAACAGAAAGGCAGGCAGAAGUGUCGGGCACAAUUUUGUCACGGGCCACUUUGGAAUUAAGUCUUCCCUCGGAGGGCCGUUAUGACAUUUUGAAUGUUUCAAUUGUCUCAUCGCAUUACUUGUCCAAAACGUUUUUGUUUUUUUUUAAAUCAGUCAACUAGAAUAGUUCAGUUAUUGUUCAAGUGAGUCUAAACAGGGGAACAAAAUGAUUGCAAAAUUUCAACAUUAUGUGCUACACAUGAUAAUUUCACUUUUUCGUACAAAUUUUGGCAAGGAUCAUGCAAGUUAACAGACAGGAUUUACUUUCGCGGGCCACAUAAAAUUAACGUGGUGGUCCGGAUCUGGCCCCCGGGCCUUGAGGUUGACAUCUUUAUCCAAGGGAAGUCAUCCUUUUCACACCACCGACUAUUUCCCUAUAAUUGUCUUAGUUAUCACCUAUAAAAAAUUAUUAUUGAGUCACGGACCAACCAGUGUAGGGGAGCUACUAUGGGUUAACAUUUUAAAAAGCUACACUUAGGCCAUAUUAGGGCCCACCCUGAGCCUGAUGUGGUGGCCGCAAUGGGGUUAUUGAAUAAAAGUUUACCUGGUAGACUGUCACACUAAUUUAAAACGCACACAUUUAAAAAAAAAAACUUGAGAGAUGAGGUUAAAAAAAAACGAAUGAGCAUUUACCUAAUCGAAUUGGUCAGUGUGUACAGUACAAUGACAAGGUGUGGCACAGGUUUAACGCAAGCACAAGGUGUGGAGGCAGAACAAUCGUACGCGUGAUAAGACUUGACUUCUGAGUGUCACUUAACAUCGUCUCGCUCUGGUGAUGAAACUCGAGUUUAAGUUGCAGACGAAGCAAGCGAGUGCAUCGGGAACAAGUCAGGGUGUGGACACUGUAGGUGUGAGUGUGCUGGGGUGUCUCUCUCUCCCCCCCCCCCCCCAAACCCAUUUGCAGUAUAUGGCCAGAUCAGCAGAUUUACCGUGAUAAGUGGACAGAUGAAUUAAAAAACUGGCACGUAAUGAAAACGCAACACAAAUCUCUUGCGUCAACCGUGUGCGGGCAGUUUGAGGUAGUCAUUAAAACUGAUUGAACUAACACAGAAAAAAA